rnacentral:tRNA from 1 species
GGGCGUGUGGUCUAGUGGUAUGAUUCUCGCUUUGGGUGCGAGAGGCCCUAGGUUCAAUUCCCAGUAUGCCCC